AACCUGUCAACGUGUUGACAGCUGACGGUAGCGCAGGAAUAAGCACCGGCUAACUCCGUGCCAGCAGCCGCGGUAAUACGGAGGGUGCAAGCGUUAUCCGGAUUCAUUGGGUUUAAAGGGUGCGCAGGUUGGGGAGUAAGUCAGUGGUGAAAUACUGCCGCUUAACGGUAGAACUGCCAUUGAUACUGCUUUUCUUGAGUAUGGUUGAGGUAGGUGGAAUGUGUUGUGUAGCGGUGAAAUGCAUAGAUAUGACACAGAACGCCGAUUGCGAAGGCAACUUACUAAGCCAUUACUGACGCUGAGGCACGAAAGCGUGGGUAGCGAACAGGAUUAGAUACCCUGGUAGUCCACGCCGUAAACGAUGUUCACUCGCUGUUUGCGAUACACAGUAAGCGGCUGAGCGAAAGCAUUAAGUGAACCACCUGGGGAGUAC
rnacentral:rRNA from 1 species